UGGGGAAUUUUGCACAAUGGGGGAAACCCUGAUGCAGCGACGCCGCGUGAUUUAGAAGGCUUUCGGGUUGUAACAAUCUUUUGUAUGGGAAGAAAAUGACAGUACCAUACGAAUAAGGACCGGCUAAUUACGUGCCAGCAGCCGCGGUAAUACGUAAGGUCCGAGCGUUGUCCGGAAUCAUUGGGCGUAAAGGGUACGUAGGCGGAUAAGCAAGUUAGAAGUGAAAUCCUAUAGCUCAACUAUAGUAAGCUUUUAAAACUGCUCAUCUUGAGGUAUGGAAGGGAAAGUGGAAUUCCUAGUGUAGCGGUGAAAUGCGCAGAUAUUAGGAGGAAUACCGGUGGCGAAGGCGGCUUUCUGGCCAUAAACUGACGCUGAGGUACGAAAGAGUGGGUAGCAAACAGG
rnacentral:rRNA from 1 species